rnacentral:rRNA from 1 species
AUGCUACAAAACCCAGCUCAUGUACCUAAGAAAGGUCGGCCAACUGAAAGAGAGAAGAGGAAGAAGACUCUGGUGGAGCAGCGAGAUGAUAAGCAGAAGAAGAAGUCGAAACAAGAAGAGAAGAAGCCAAUGGCAGCAGUGAAGCCAAAAUCUGAAAAAAGGAGUAUUCGCUGCAAGUUCUGCAAAGAAGAAGGUCACAACAUGCAGACGUGUGGACCCCUAAAAGCUGCGACAGAGGCAACGACAGCACCACCUACAUGUCAAUUCUGCUCCGAGGUGGGACAUGCUGUGCCAACUUGUGCAUACUCGAGAGCCAUGAUGACAAAUGAUCCAAGAAAUGCCCAAGCAACGCAACUCAACCUCUAG